rnacentral:rRNA from 1 species
GACGAACGCUGGCGGCGUGCUUAACACAUGCAAGUCGAACGGAAAGGCCCUGCUUUUGUGGGGUGCUCGAGUGGCGAACGGGUGAGUAACACGUGAGUAACCUGCCCUUGACUUUGGGAUAACUUCAGGAAACUGGGGCUAAUACCGGAUAGGAGCUCCUGCUGCAUGGUGGGGGUUGGAAAGUUUCGGCGGUUGGGGAUGGACUCGCGGCUUAUCAGCUUGUUGGUGGGGUAGUGGCUUACCAAGGCUUUGACGGGUAGCCGGCCUGAGAGGGUGACCGGCCACAUUGGGACUGAGAUACGGCCCAGACUCCUACGGGAGGCAGCAGUGGGGAAUAUUGCACAAUGGGCGGAAGCCUGAUGCAGCAACGCCGCGUGCGGGAUGACGGCCUUCGGGGUGUAAACCGCCUUCGCCUGUGACGAAGCGUGAGUGACGGUAAUGGGUAAAGAAGCACCGGCUAACUACGUG